GAUGAACGCUAGCGGCAGGCUUAACACAUGCAAGUCGAGGGGUAGAAGGAGCUUGCUCCUUUGAGACCGGCGCACGGGUGCGUAACGCGUAUGCAAUCUACCUUUUGCAGAGGGAUAGCCCAGAGAAAUUUGGAUUAAUACCUCAUAGUAUGUGAGGAUGGCAUCAUUUUCACAUUAAAGUCACAACGGCAAAAGAUGAACAUGCGUCCCAUUAGCUAGUUGGUAAGGUAACGGCUUACCAAGGCUACGAUGGGUAGGGGUCCUGAGAGGGAGAUCCCCCANACUGGUACUGAGACACGGACCAGACUCCUACGGGAGGCAGCAGUGAGGAAUAUUGGACAAUGGACGCAAGCCUGAUCCAGCCAUGCCGCGUGCAGGAUGACGGU
rnacentral:rRNA from 1 species